rnacentral:rRNA from 1 species
CCUACGGGAGGCAGCAGUGGGGGAUAUUGCACAAUGGGGGAAACCCUGAUGCAGCGACGCCGCGUGGGUGAAGAAGUAUUUCGGUAUGUAAAGCCCUAUCAGCAGGGAAGAAAGAAGACGGUACCUGACUAAGAAGCCCCGGCUAACUACGUGCCAGCAGCCGCGGUAAUACGUAGGGGGCAAGCGUUAUCCGGAAUUACUGGGUGUAAAGGGAGCGUAGACGGUGAUGCAAGUCUGGAGUGAAAGGCGGGGGCCCAACCCCCGGACUGCUCUGGAAACUGUGUAACUUGAGUGCAGGAGAGGUAAGCGGAAUUCCUAGUGUAGCGGUGAAAUGCGUAGAUAUUAGGAGGAACACCAGUGGCGAAGGCGGCUUACUGGACUGUAACUGACGUUGAGGCUCGAAAGCGUGGGGAGCAAACAGGAUUAGAUACCCGAGUAGUC